CAGGGGGGGCAAGCGUUGUUCGGAAUUACUGGGCGUAAAGGGUUCGUAGGUGGCCACUUAAGUCAGACGUGAAAUCCCUCAGCUUAACUGGGGAACUGCGUCUGAUACUGCGUGGCUUGAGUGCAGGAGAGGAAUGCGGAAUUCCAGGUGUAGCGGUGAAAUGCGUAGAUAUCUGGAGGAACACCGGUGGCGAAGGCGGCAUUCUGGUCUGUAACUGACACUGAUGAACGAAAGCCAGGGGAGCAAACGGGAUUAGAUACCCCGGUAGUCCUGGCCCUAAACGAUGAAUGCUUGGUGUGGCGGGUAUCGAUCCCUGCCGUGCCGCAGUUAACGCGAUAAGCAUUCCGCCUGGGGAGUACGGUCGCAAGGCUG
rnacentral:rRNA from 1 species